rnacentral:lncRNA from 1 species
UUUAAAUAUAUAAUUCAUUUUAUAAGAUAUAAAGAAUCUACGCUCAACUUUACACUAAAAAAUUAAUAAUUUAACUCUCGUAAUUUGAAUCUUGCCACGUGCAGAAGACAAUAAUUAUUUUACUUAUACAAUCAUUAUGCCAUGUAUUUUAAUCUUAUUUAAGAAAAGAUUUUUAAAAAAAAUAGGAAAAACUUUAUGUAUUUCCAUACUUAAUUAUCAACUUAAUCCCACUAUACCAUGAACAUAUGGUAUGUGGAAUAAUAUAUACUAGCAACAUCAAAGGGAAAUAAUAAUAAUAAUUAUAGACGUACAUUUAAUCCCUUACACAUUGGUUGGUACCAUAGUUGUAGUUUGGCUUCUCCCCCACCCACAAUUGCACAGCUGCCCUCCCCGUGAAAUCACCAGUUCCCUUGGCAAGGUUCUCCCCUGCACCGGAAUGAAUCAAGUUACAAUCACCAGUUCUUGAAUUAAAGUAAACUAGUAUAUAUACUCGCGGAUAAUAUUAAAAUAUUAUUUUUAAGUGUAUUAGAAUGUGUGACUUGCAAGUUUGAGUCAGUCAAAAUUACAGUGUUUUUUUGUGUGAUUAAUUAACUUAGUUAGAAAAUCAAAUAUAAUUAUUUCACUCGUACUUCAACUUAUAAUAACUAAACGAAGUCAAUCGGAACUCAUCAUAGCUUUCUGAGGGAUCGACUCAAGACUCAUAAUCAAGAUUAUAUUGAUUAUGCUCACUUAGUUUUUGAAUAUGUAAAUUUCAUAAUUUAAAAAAGGAAAUAAAGAAUCUAUGUCGUGUUAGUGUUUUGCCCUAAUUAAAAAAAAAUAAAGGUCCUUUAAAUUUUUCAAAAGUGAACACCUUUGGUUUUGAGAAGAUAUUUAUCAAACUUUGAUUGUUAAAUUUAAUCGAAUUUGUAUAAAAUGUUAAAUUUUAAACACUGUGGAAUUUUAUUUCACAUGUGAAGAAAAUUCAAAGGAGAUUAAUGUUGCAUUGCAUGUCGUGUUAUUCAGGAAAUACUCUAUGCUUUAAAGAAUAGUCAUACUUUAAUCUAGGACAUUUCUUCACCCCAUAUUAUUCAGAUAAGAUUAAACAAGACUUAGUAAGUGUUUUUGGGUGGAAUAUUCACAAUAGGUAAAAUAUGCGCUCUCAAUAAUUACAUGCAAGUCUACGGAGCAUAGAAAGACAAGAUGCUUAUAUCGUACUUGCUAAAUGAAUCUAAUUCUAAUACAAUUUUAUAUCUCAAUUAAAUUGGACUCGCACAUGUUCUACAGUCUCGUGAAUCAUGUUGAAGCAACUAAAGCAAGGACUUUAGGCUCCAAAAUUUUAGGGUUCCGAUUUUUAUUUUUUAUUUUCUCAUACAAUGUCUAGAAUCUAUGUUGAAGUCACGAUUAAUUCAAUUUCGUGUCACAUAAGGUUCUUUAAAGGAAGAAGCUCUCUAGCAAUAUUUGUUUUCCUUUUGAGAUUUGGACUCAAUAUCUCUGAUCAAGAGAGGAAGCGAUUCAGUUUUAUUUAGCUAUAAAAUAUUUUAUGAAAAUUUGAUUUUAAACCAUCGAUCUUAUUGAGCCACCCUGCGUGAAUGUAUUGGAAGAAAAUUAUUCUAUGAGAGAGAGAAGACUAAGUAUUUAUUAGUCAUUGAAAGCAAUUUGGAUAUAAUGAAAACAAAAAAAUAAAGAAAGUGAUGGACACUUAAACCAGAACAAAUUUUUGGUCCUUUGUGUGGAAAUUAACUGCUUCACAUCCUUGCAGCUUCGAAUGAGAUUUUUUUUAAAAAAAUUUGAAAGUGUUGAAGCUGAAUUUAUGAAUAAAUAGUUAUAUGUUUAGAUAAGUUUUAAAUGGAGCAUAAAUAGUUUGAUUUGCUUAAUUAUAUAUGCACACAUUAAGUAAUUUCUAUCGUAUAUAUUUUGUAUAUUUCUUUUAUAUAUAAAAUAUAAUUUUUUGGUGAAAAGUGUUCAACGAUAGUCGCUAUAGUGUGUGGAAUUCAUGUUCCAUCACAUAAUUGGAGAGUUUUUUCUUGACUUUCUUUUUAUUAUUACUAUUAUUUAUGGAUUUUUAUAUAGUUUAAUUCACUGAUUUUGAUUCGGAGAAUGACAAUAUACUAGAGUUUUAAUUUACCCUUUGUUUGGUUAUAAUAUAUUAUAUUUAUUUGACUGCGUUUGCAUUAUAGUAUAAAUUGUUUGGAAUUACUUGUUUGUUUUGGGAAAGACUUGCAAGUUUGAGUCGGUCAAAAUUACACUGUGAUUAAUCAACUUAAUUAGAAAAUCAAAUAUAAUUUUAUACUUCACUCGUAUUCCACUUAAACUAACUAAAUUAAGUUAAACGGAACUCACCAUAGCUUUUCUGUGGUAUUGAGUUGUAUAUAAAUAUACUCUGAUGGUAUCAAAGAUAACUGAACAGUGUCUUCAUUGAAAGACUGCUUCUUCCUCCUUGAUAUUAUCAAAGUAUAAUAUACUUUGGUGGUAUUAAUGAGUAACCGAAUAGUGUUUUCAUUAAGGUUUGUUUCAGUCCUUCGAUGAGAAUACUCAAUCAUCCAUGAUACCAUUACGGUAUAUCUACAUACUGUCGUGGUAUCAUUUAGGUAUGCUUGAAUUCUUCAAUAUUUUAAUUUUAAAAAAUAUAAAAAUAUAUUUCCUACUAAUUUAGAGUUUAAUAAAUAAGAUUGUGAAUUUAAUAAUUUCUCUUAAUUAUUUCUUAAAAAAAGAGUUAAAUCCUAUAUCUCAUACUGAUAUCAUACGCGAUAUAAAAAAGGAGAAAGUGGGGUAAGCAUGUAAAUAUUUUGAGGCAUGGGUCCAUUUAGGGUAAAUAGUUUGGAUAAAGUCCAAUUUAGAUAAAUAGUUUCAUAAUUGGGUCUAUCUUACAUAGUUUUUUCUAUUAAUUACGCUACUUAAUUUUUAAAUAUAUAAAUUUCAUAAUUUUAAAUAAGUAAAGAACCUAUGCCCAACUUCACACUCGUACUUGGAAUUUUUCAAUAUUAAUUUGCUCAUACAAUUAUUCUACUAAUUUAUAUAGAACCAAUCCUUUUCUGAGAUUAAGUAGCACAAAUAUCGUAUUUUAAUCUUAGUUAAUGAAAGACAAAUUUUAAAAAGGUCAAAUAGGAAUAACAACUUUAUGUAUUCAUGUUUAGUGGAAACGAGAAGAUGCAAUACUUAGUUAUCAACGUAAGCCACUAUACCAUGAACAUAUGGUACGUGGAAUUAUUCAUACUAGCAACAUCAAAGGGUAAUAAUAAUAAUAAUUAUAGAGGUACAUUUAAUCCCUUACACAUCAUAAGUAAACACAUUUUAGUAAGGACGUUGUCCGACCCAGUUUCCAACAGGAUCAUAGUUGCAUGAAAUGAACCACCAUCCGUUGUUGCAACGAGCCCGACCACAACCUAGUCGAACUGAGUUGCGCCAGACUACUUGAGUAUAGUGUCCGCACACUUGUCCGCUUGCACAUUGGUUGGUACCAUAGUUGUAGUUUGGCUUCUCCCCCACCCACAAUUGCACAGCUGCCCUCCCCGUGAAAUCACCAGUUCCCUUGGCAAGGUUCUCCCCUGCACCGGAAUGAAUCAAGUUACAAUCACCAGUUCUUGAAUUGGCAUAAUUUUGUGCUCGGGAUGCCAAACCGGCAUCCCAAGACAUUGGCCCGACCCCGACUUGGGCACGGGCAUCGUUGUGAACCGCAAGAUAGUCUUGGGGUGAAUUUUGGGCAUCACAAGAGUGAAAUAUGGCUAAUACCAUGAGACAAGUGAGUAACAAUGAGAUGUUAAACAACCCCAUUUUGCUUUAGGUCUAGUGGAAAGAAAAUAAAUCUAAGUUAUUGUGAUUAUAAAUGUGAGAUAAGUAGUGUAUUUAUAAGUAAAAUUAAUUGUGGAAUUUUGUUUAGCAUGUGUGAAGAAAAUUCAAAGGAAAUUAGUAGAGGAAAUGAUAAAAAUGGUCUCUUAUCUUUGAUAGUAAGUUCAAAAUAGUCUCGUGUGUAUUUAGUUGAGCCAUUUUGGUCCUUCAAUUGUUUAGAAGUAAUUACUUUCGGUCCUGAUGGUAUCAAAGAUAAGUGAACAGUGUCUUCAUUGAAGGACUGCUUCUUCCUCCUUGAUAUUAUCAAAGGAUAAUAUACUUUGGUGGUAUUAAUGAGUAACUGAAUAGUGUUUUCAUUAAGAUUUGUUUCAGUCCUUCGAUGAGAAUACUCAAUCAUCCAUGAUAUCAUUACGGUAUUUCUACAUACUGUCGUGAUAUCAUUGAGGUAUGUUUGAAUUCUUCAAUAUUUUAAUUUUAAAAAAUAUAUUUCCUACUAAUUUAGAGUUUAAUAAAUAAGAUUGUGAAUUUAAUAAUUUUCUCAUAACUAUUUCUUAAAAAAAGAGUUAAAUCCUAUAUCUCAUACUAUAUCAUGUGCAAUAUAAAAAAGGAGAAAGUGGGGUAAGCAGGUAAAUAUUUUGAGGUAUAGGUCCAUUUAGGGUAAAUAGUUUGGAUAGAGUCCAAUUUAGAUAAAUAGUUUCAUAAUUGGGUCUAUCUUACAUAGUUUUUUCUAUUAAUUACGCUACUUAAUUUUUAAAUAUAUAAAUUUCAUAAUUUUAAAUAAGUAAAGAACCUAUGCCCAACUUCACACUAAGAAUUUAGUACUUUGACCCUCGUACUUGGAAUUUUUCAAUAUUAAUUUGCUCAUACAAUUAUUCAACUAAUUUAUAUAGAACCAAUCCUUUUCUGAGUUUAAGUAGCACAAAUAUCGUAUUUUAAUCUUAGUUAAUGAAAGACAAAUUUUAAAAAGGUCAAAUAGGAAUAACAACUUUAUGUAUUCAUGUUUAGUGGAAACAAGAAGAUGCAAUACUUAGUUAUCAACGUAAGCCACUAUACCAUGAACAUAUGGUACGUGGAAUUAUUCAUACUAGCAACAUCAAAGGGUAAUAAUAAUAAUAAUUAUAGAGGUACAUUUAAUCCCUUACACAUCAUAAGUAAACACAUUUUAGUAAGGACGUUGUCCGACCCAGUUUCCAACAGGAUCAUAGUUGCAUGAAAUGAACCACCAUCCGUUGUUGCAACGAGCCCGACCACAACCUAGUCGAACUGAGUUGCGCCAGACUACUUGAGUAUAGUGUCCGCACACUUGUCCGCUUGCACAUUGGUUGGUACCAUAGUUGUAGUUUGGCUUCUCCCCCACCCACAAUUGCACAGCUGCCCUCCCCGUGAAAUCACCAGUUCCCUUGGCAAGGUUCUCCCCUGCACCGGAAUGAAUCAAGUUACAAUCACCAGUUCUUGAAUUGGCAUAAUUUUGUGCUCGGGAUGCCAAACCGGCAUCCCAAGACAUUGGCCCGACCCCGACUUGGGCACGGGCAUCGUUGUGAACCGCAAGAUAGUCUUGGGGUGAAUUUUGGGCAUCACAAGAGUGAAAUAUGGCUAAUACCAUGAGACAAGUGAGUAACAAUGAGAUGUUAAACAACCCCAUUUUGCUUUAGGUCUAGUGGAAAGAAAAUAAAUCUAAGUUAUUGUGAUUAUAAAUGUGAGAUAAGUAGUGUAUUUAUAAGUAAAAUUAAUUGUGGAUUUUGGUUUAGCAUGUGUGAAGAAAAUUCAAAGGAAAUUAGUAGAGGAAAUGAUAAAAAUGGUCUCUUAUCUUUGAUAGUAAGUUCAAAAUAGUCUCGUGUGUAUUUAGUUGAGCCAUUUUGGUCCUUCAAUUGUUUAGAAGUAAUUACUUUCGGUCCUUUAAGUUUUUCAAAAAUGAGCAUUUUUUUUUAUCUUGAUUAGAUUUUUAUCAAACUUUGAUUGUUAAAUUUAAACAUUGUGGAAUUUUAUUUUUCAUAUUAAGAAAAUUCAAAUGUGAUUAGUACCUUGCAUGUCGUGUGAUUCAUAGAAUACUAUAUUCUUUAAAGAAUAGUCAUACUUUAAUCUAGGUAAUUCUUGUUUUUUUUUCAAAAUUAUAUUAUCAAAAUAAGGUUAAACAAGAUUAAUUAAGCAUUUUUGGGUGGAAUAAAAAGUCUAUAGAACAUAAGAAGACUUGAAUUACUAAAAAGAUAUAUAUUUUUUCUAUUAGAUGGGGCUCACACAUGUUCUACAAUCUCGUGAAGCAUAAAGAUGUAUAUUUUUUUUCCAUUAGAUGGGGCUCACACAUGUUCUACAGCCUCGUGAAGCAUGGACGUGACCAAAUGGUGAAGCAGCUAAAAUAAGGGCUUUAGGCUCCAAAAUUAUAGGGGUUUGAAUAAAAACUUUUUUUCUUAUACAAUGUCUUGGGUGUGUGCUGGAGUCCUCAUUAAUUUGAUUUAUGUCACAUAAGUACCUUUAAAGGGAAGUUCUAUCUAGCAGUCUUUAUUUUCAUUUUAGGAUUCGAACAUGGAACAUCCGAUCAAGAGAGGAUGCGAUUCAGUGUUUACUUGUAAAAUAUUUCAUGGAAAAAUGAUUUUAGGCCAUCGAUAUUAUUGAGCCGCCCUAAAUCUAUUGGGAGAAAAUUAUUGUACGAGAGAGAAGAGUGAGAAUUUGUUAGUCAUUGAAAGCAAUUUGAAUAUAAUGAAAACAAAAAAUAAACAAAGUGAUGGACACAUAAACCAGGACAAAUAUUUGGUCCUUUCUGUAGAAAUUAACUGCCUCACAUCCUGGCAGCUUCGAAUGAGAAUUAUUAAUUUUUAAAACGUUUUUAAGGGUUGAAGUUGAAUUUACGAAUAAAUAGUUACAUGUUUAAAUAAGUAUUAAAUAGAGAAUAAAUAAUUUGAUAUGCUUAAUAAAUAUAUGUGCACCUAAAGUAGUUCCUGACGAAUGUACUUCAUAUAAUAUUUUACAUAUAAAGUAUAAUUUUUCGAUAAAAGUUUUCAAUAGGUCACCGCCAGGGGAGGAGCCAGCAUGUCUUUAGGGGUUCAUCCGAAUCCCUUUUGGUGGAAAAUAUUACUAUAUAUACAUGGUUAAAAUUAUUUUUUAGAUGUAUAUAAUAGAUGUCGAACCCCCCUUCGACUAGUUCAUAUGUUUACUCCUUCGGAUUUUGAACCCCUUAUUAAAAAUCAUGGCUCUGCCACUAGUCACCGCUGCGUGGAAUUCCUGUUCCAUCACGUAAUUGGAGAGUUUUUUCUUGACUUCUAUUUUUAUUAUUAUGGAAUUAUCUACAGUUUAAUUCACUGAUUUUGAUUUGGAGAAUGACAAUAUGCUAAUUUUAUGUAUUAAACCUUAGUGUGAAGAUAAAAUAUUAUAUUUAUUUGACAACGUUACGUUUGUAUUAAAGUAAACUAGUAUAUAUAUAUAUUCGCGGAUAAUAUUAAAAAUAUUAUUUUUAAGUGUAUUAGAAUGUGUGACUUGCAAGUUUGAGUCAGUCAAAAUUACAGUUAUUUUUUGUGUGAUUAAUUAACUUAGUUAGAAAAUCAAAUAUAAUUAUUUCACUCGUACUUCAACUUAUAAUAACUAAACGAAGUCAAUCGGAACUCAUCAUAGCUUUCUGAGGGAUCGACUCAAGACUCAUAAUCAAGAUUAUAUUGAUUAUGCUCACUUAGUUUUUGAAUAUGUAAAUUUCAUAAUUUAAAAAAGGAAAUAAAGAAUCUAUGUCGUGUUAGUGUUUUGCCCUGAUUUUAAAAAAUAAAGGUCCUUUAAAUUUUUCAAAAGUGAACACUUUUGGUUUUGAGAAGAUAUUUAUCAAACUUUGAUUGUUAAAUUUAAUCGAAUUUGUAUAAAAUGUUAAAUUUAAACACUGUGGAAUUUUAUUUCACAUGUGAAGAAAAUUCAAAGGAGAUUAAUGUUACAUUGCAUGUCGUGUUAUUCAGGAAAUACUCUAUGCUUUAAAGAAUAGUCAUACUUUAAUCUAGGACAUUUCUUCACCCCAUAUUAUUCAGAUAAGAUUAAACAAGACUUAGUAAGUGUUUUUGGGUGGAAUAUUCACAAUAGGUAAAAUAUGCGCUCUCAAUAAUUACAUGCAAGUCUACGGAGCAUAGAAAGACAAGAUGCUUAUAUCGUAUAUUUGCUAAAUGAAUCUAAUUCUAAUACAACUUUAUAUCUCAAUUAAAUUGGACUCGCACAUGUUCUACAGUCUCGUGAAUCAUGUUGAAGCAACUAAAGCAAGGACUUUAGGCUCCAAAAUUUUAGGGUUCCGAUUUUUAUUUUUUAUUUUCUCAUACAAUGUCUAGAAUCUAUGUUGAAGUCACGAUUAAUUCAAUUUCGUGUCACAUAAGGUUCUUUAAAGGAAGAAGCUCUCUAGCAAUAUUUGUUUUCCUUUUGAGAUUUGGACUCAAUAUCUCUGAUCAAGAGAGGAAGCGAUUCAGUUUUAUUUAGCUAUAAAAUAUUUUAUGAAAAUUUGAUUUUAAACCAUCGAUCUUAUUGAGCCACCCUUGCGUGAAUGUAUUGGAAGAAAAUUAUUCUAUGAGAGAGAGAAGACUAAGUAUUUAUUAGUCAUUGAAAGCAAUUUGGAUAUAAUGAAAACAAAAAAAUAAAGAAAGUGAUGGACACUUAAACCAGAACAAAUUUUUGGUCCUUUGUGUGGAAAUUAACUGCUUCACAUCCUUGCAGCUUCGAAUGAGAUUUUUUUUAAAAAAAUUUGAAAGUGUUGAAGCUGAAUUUAUGAAUAAAUAGUUAUAUGUUUAGAUAAGUUUUAAAUGGAGCAUAAAUAGUUUGAUUUGCUUAAUUAUAUAUGCACACAUUAAGUAAUUUCUAUCGUAUAUAUUUUGUAUAUUUCUUUUAUAUAUAAAAUAUAAUUUUUUGGUGAAAAGUGUUCAACGAUAGUCGCUAUAGUGUGUGGAAUUCAUGUUCCAUCACAUAAUUGGAGAGUUUUUUCUUGACUUUCUUUUUAUUAUUACUAUUAUUUAUGGAUUUUUAUAUAGUUUAAUUCACUGAUUUUGAUUCGGAGAAUGACAAUAUACUAGAGUUUUAAUUUACCCUUUGUUUGGUUAUAAUAUAUUAUAUUUAUUUGACUGCGUUUGCAUUAUAGUAUAAAUUGUUUGGAAUUACUUGUUUGUUUUGGGAAAGACUUGCAAGUUUGAGUCGGUCAAAAUUACACUGUGAUUAAUCAACUUAAUUAGAAAAUCAAAUAUAAUUUUAUACUUCACUCGUAUUCCACUUAAACUAACUAAAUUAAGUUAAACGGAACUCACCAUAGCUUUUCUGUGGUAUUGAGUUGUAUAUAAAUACUAGUAACGAAAGCCCGGGCGCUGCCCGGGCCCUGUGGUAUUGAGUUGUAUAUAAAUAUACUCUGAUGGUAUCAAAGAUAACUGAACAGUGUCUUCAUUGAAAGACUGCUUCUUCCUCCUUGAUAUUAUCAAAGUAUAAUAUACUUUGGUGGUAUUAAUGAGUAACCGAAUAGUGUUUUCAUUAAGGUUUGUUUCAGUCCUUCGAUGAGAAUACUCAAUCAUCCAUGAUACCAUUACGGUAUAUCUACAUACUGUCGUGGUAUCAUUUAGGUAUGCUUGAAUUCUUCAAUAUUUUAAUUUUAAAAAAUAUAAAAAUAUAUUUCCUACUAAUUUAGAGUUUAAUAAAUAAGAUUGUGAAUUUAAUAAUUUCUCUUAAUUAUUUCUUAAAAAAAGAGUUAAAUCCUAUAUCUCAUACUGAUAUCAUACGCGAUAUAAAAAAGGAGAAAGUGGGGUAAGCAUGUAAAUAUUUUGAGGCAUGGGUCCAUUUAGGGUAAAUAGUUUGGAUAAAGUCCAAUUUAGAUAAAUAGUUUCAUAAUUGGGUCUAUCUUACAUAGUUUUUUCUAUUAAUUACGCUACUUAAUUUUUAAAUAUAUAAAUUUCAUAAUUUUAAAUAAGUAAAGAACCUAUGCCCAACUUCACACUCGUACUUGGAAUUUUUCAAUAUUAAUUUGCUCAUACAAUUAUUCUACUAAUUUAUAUAGAACCAAUCCUUUUCUGAGAUUAAGUAGCACAAAUAUCGUAUUUUAAUCUUAGUUAAUGAAAGACAAAUUUUAAAAAGGUCAAAUAGGAAUAACAACUUUAUGUAUUCAUGUUUAGUGGAAACGAGAAGAUGCAAUACUUAGUUAUCAACGUAAGCCACUAUACCAUGAACAUAUGGUACGUGGAAUUAUUCAUACUAGCAACAUCAAAGGGUAAUAAUAAUAAUAAUUAUAGAGGUACAUUUAAUCCCUUACACAUCAUAAGUAAACACAUUUUAGUAAGGACGUUGUCCGACCCAGUUUCCAACAGGAUCAUAGUUGCAUGAAAUGAACCACCAUCCGUUGUUGCAACGAGCCCGACCACAACCUAGUCGAACUGAGUUGCGCCAGACUACUUGAGUAUAGUGUCCGCACACUUGUCCGCUUGCACAUUGGUUGGUACCAUAGUUGUAGUUUGGCUUCUCCCCCACCCACAAUUGCACAGCUGCCCUCCCCGUGAAAUCACCAGUUCCCUUGGCAAGGUUCUCCCCUGCACCGGAAUGAAUCAAGUUACAAUCACCAGUUCUUGAAUUGGCAUAAUUUUGUGCUCGGGAUGCCAAACCGGCAUCCCAAGACAUUGGCCCGACCCCGACUUGGGCACGGGCAUCGUUGUGAACCGCAAGAUAGUCUUGGGGUGAAUUUUGGGCAUCACAAGAGUGAAAUAUGGCUAAUACCAUGAGACAAGUGAGUAACAAUGAGAUGUUAAACAACCCCAUUUUGCUUUAGGUCUAGUGGAAAGAAAAUAAAUCUAAGUUAUUGUGAUUAUAAAUGUGAGAUAAGUAGUGUAUUUAUAAGUAAAAUUAAUUGUGGAAUUUUG